rnacentral:lncRNA from 1 species
ACUUCUGUCAGCUGUCCACAACUUCUGCUGACCAUAUGCACUAAAGACAACAAUUGUUAUUCAACCAAACAACAUCUGGGUUGGGCGAAAAGAUCACAACUUACAAUUAUUGGCAAGUACUUAUCAAAUGCAGCUUCCUGCUUCGGCAACUUAUCGGUCUCAACUGGUCCUUUAGGCUGUGGAAUAUUCAUUCACUAUCUAGUAUUUUUGCACUCAUUUUACAUAGUUCCUAGACAUGAUAAGAUCUCAUACUAUCAGUUUUCUUCAACAAACAAUUACUGCAGCAGUAGACAUGAUAUUAAUUUCACCAAGAAUGGAUACAACAGUACUCAUUCUUCAACGCACAUUUACAUUCCAUCCCAAGCUAGUUAUCUGAGAAUUUUCGAUGCAAAUAUGAACCUAUUUACACUUGAUGUUUUGGACAGCUUGGAAAAAAUCCCAGACUGUAUGGAGAUGUGUCAUUUUCCAGUGGUGUUAGCAUUUUACAAUGUUCAUUCUGGAUAUGAUAGUUCACUAUAUGGAAGGAGUUGCAGUGGUUGUUCUGAACUAUGGGCGUUCAACUUUUACAUAGCUACUUGGUUGAUGGAAAGUACAGAAUCCAAAACUGGUUUCACGCAAGGAAAGAUCAAAGUUAGAUGCUCAACACAGCUGUUGUUAUUCCUGUUCUUCACCACUAUAAUAACUAUGUCCGAACUAUUAUUUUGUAUUUGUUGCGGAUUAACACACACCUACUUAGUGCUUUGUAGGUGUUACGUGGAGUUGUUUGCAUUGACUCUGCCACUGCAAGUAUGCUCUUACGAAACUUCAAAAGAUCAACAUUCAACAAAAAUAUCAUGAUGCACUGUUCCCACACAACACCUUACUAUUACUGGUUUAAUUUGGAAGAAGCUUCUAUUGAGGAGACUUACUAUACUUGAUUCUUUAGGACUGUAUCCUUUAUGUUUGGAGAUGUUUCGACAUUUAGUGGUAUUAGCAUUACAUAAUGCUCAAUCUGUGGUUGCCGCAUCACCAGAUGGGAAGAUAUAAUUCAAUUUUCCCAACUUUUGGUUUCCCCUACUACUGUGUUGCUGCCAACACAGUCAUUUCCCAGUGAUUCAAUUGUCCUGUCCUUGGCUGGUUUAUUGUUCAAAAUUUACCGCUUCAAACUUGAUCUCAACCAAAGAAAAAUCAAAUGCAUGUUUUCUGUAUCAGCAAUGUUGUUGGAGUUCUUCAGCCCCAAAAUGAAGAUGUCCAAUCUGCUUUGCUUUACAACUAGUGGAUUAAAACAUACCUACUUCAUUGGAUUACAACAAAUGGCACCCGGUGAGAGCUUUGUAGGUGCUACAAGGAAUUGUUUGCAACUUGUGUGCGAAUUCAUUAUCAUCGACAAUAGUUGGAUGUUUCAAAAUAGUAGCUUAGUACUUUUCAUUUAUCUUUAUGCUACUGCUACAUUGUAUUUGGUAGGAAUAACCAUUGGCUUUCUUUGUUUGAUUUAUUUCUCUUUUACUUGAACAUUGUGUAACUUUUUCCCAGUUUAGGAAUUAUUAUAUAUAACAGCUACUAGGUGAAUAACUUAGUAGUAUAUUUGCUUUUAAAAUAAACUACCCUUCCAACCCCUAUUUUUUAAAAUUUUCUUUUAGUAUUAGGCUUGGGCCAGAGGCCAACAGGCCCAAAAUCAAGGUCUAGCCCACCAAUCCUUUCUCAACUCACCCCCUAAUCUAGUGAGUCUGCCAAGACCAGGUCCAAUUCCAAACAAAUCCCAAGCGGCCAAACAAACUAGAUGUCGAAAUUCAAAAUUGAAAACUAAGUAAACCACUUUGAAAUUGAAACAAAUUCUAGAACUACAAUCUAUACUAGCAUAUGCAAAUAAUUGAGCAAUUAAAGUUACCUUAAAACUUGCAAUUACUAAUUGAAAUUACAGCAUGUAUUUAAUUAUCAAGCCACCUAAACACUAAUUGAUUCCAAAUUAUUGAUUAAACAUGCUCGGACAGAAUUCAUCGAGACACAUCAAUUAGAAAGAAUUAUACAGAAGGGGAGGAGUGUAUACCAAAUCUGCUAUACACCCGAUCAGCGUCAAAGAAAUGCGGUGAUUGUAAUGAAUUCUGGUGACGAUCAAUAGAACUCCGGUGAGCAAAGAGGAUUGUCACAUGAGCAUUGGCCGACAAAUGUUUAUGCGAUCCAGUGCUACAUGUAACAAUGCUCAUUACAAGCCGAAUUGAAGAAGAAAAGAUGAAGUUUGGGGAAGUUCGGCCUGUCUACGACGGUCAACGAUGUUUCGGCCACCGAAAAAUGGUAAAAAAAUGACCUCAAACGAAAGGUCUUUCCGAGACGUAUCAUUUGAUGUAAAAUUUAGGUAAAGAGGAGGUCGGGUUGAUAGUAAUUUAGCAAAGGGGCAAAAAAGUUGGGACUUUUAUUCCUAGGUCUUCUAAUCGGCAGGAUUGGGAGGUUUUUUGGGGGGAAAUGAUGUUGGAUUAAGGGUGAGGAGGUGGUGAGGAGUAUUUGAUAAUUUUUUGGGUGGAUUAGUGUUGAUCCGCCGCCGGAUGGCGAUUUUCGGGUAGUGGAAGACGGCGAAGUAAGGUGGCUAAUUUGAGAGAAUGAGAGAAUUGGGGGCAUCUAGGGUUUGGCAUAGUGGGGG